UGCCAGACUCCUACGGGAGGCAGCAGUGGGGAAUAUUGCACAAUGGGGGAAACCCUGAUGCAGCGACGCCGCGUGAGUGAAGAAGUAAUUCGUUAUGUAAAGCUCUAUCAGCAGGGAAGAAAAUGACGGUACCUGAGUAAGAAGCCCCGGCUAACUACGUGCCGGCAGCCGCGGUAAUACGUAGGUGGCAAGCGUUGUCCGGAUUUACUGGGUGUAAAGGGCGUGUAGCCGGGCUGACAAGUCAGAUGUGAAAUCCGGGGGCUCAACCCCCGAACUGCAUUUGAAACUGUUGGUCUUGAGUAUCGGAGAGGCAGGCGGAAUUCCUAGUGUAGCGGUGAAAUGCGUAGAUAUUAGGAGGAACACCAGUGGCGAAGGCGGAUUGCUGGACAGUAACUGACGCUGAGGCGCGAAAGCGUGGGGAGCAAACAGGAUUAGAUACCCGGGUAAU
rnacentral:rRNA from 1 species